UACGAAGGGGGCUAGCGUUGCUCGGAAUUACUGGGCGUAAAGGGCGCGUAGGCGGAUAGUUUAGUCAGAGGUGAAAUCCCGGGGCUCAACCUCGGAACUGCCUUUGAUACUGGCUAUCUUGAGUAUGGGAGAGGUGUGUGGAACUCCGAGUGUAGAGGUGAAAUUCGUAGAUAUUCGGAAGAACACUAGUGGCGAAGGCGACACACUGGCCCAUUACUGACGCUGAGGCUCGAAAGCGUGGGGAGCAAACAGG
rnacentral:rRNA from 1 species